rnacentral:rRNA from 1 species
UCUGGUUACUGCGAUGGAGGGACGGAGAAGGCUAGGCCAGCUUGGCGUUGGUUGUCCAAGUUUAAGGUGGUAGGCUGAAAUCUUAGGUAAAUCCGGGGUUUCAAGGCCGAGAGCUGAUGACGAGUCGUCUUUUAGAUGACGAAGUGGUUGAUGCCAUGCUUCCAAGAAAAGCUUCUAAGCUUCAGGUAACCAGGAACCGUAGCCCAAACCGACACAGGUGGUCGGGUAGAGAAUACCAAGGCGCUUGAGAGAACUCGGGGUGAAGGAACUAUGCAAAACGGCACCGUAACUUCGGGAGAAGGUGCGCCGGCUAGGGUGAAGGAUUUACUCCGUAAGCUCUGGCUGGUCGAAGAUACCAGGCCGCUGCGACUGUUUAUUAAAAACACAGCACUCUGCAAACACGAAAGUGGACGUAUAGGGUGUGACGCCUCCCCGGUGCCGGAAGGUUAAUUGAUGGGGUUAGCGCAAGCGAAGCUCUUGAUCGAAGCCCCGGUAAACGGCGGCCGUAACGAUAACGGUCCUAAGGUAGCGAAAUUCCUUGUCGGGUAAGUUCCGACCUGCACGAAUGGCGUAACGAUGGCGGCGCUGUCUCCACCCGAGACUCAGUGAAAUUGAAAUCGCUGUGAAGAUGCAGUGUAUCCGCGGCUAGACGGAAAGACCCCGUGAACCUUUACUGUAGCUUUGCACUGGACUUUGAGCCUGCUUGUGUAGGAUAGGUGGGAGGCUUUGAAGCGUGGACGCCAGUUCGCGUGGAGCCAUCCUUGAAAUACCACCCUGGCAUGCUUGAGGUUCUAACUCUGGUCCGUAAUCCGGAUCGAGGACAGUGUAUGGUGGGCAGUUUGACUGGGGCGGUCUCCUCCUAAAGAGUAACGGAGGAGUACGAAGGUGCGCUCAGACCGGUCGGAAAUCGGUCGCAGAGUAUAAAGGCAAAAGCGCGCUUGACUGCGAGACAGACACGUCGAGCAGGUACGAAAGUAGGUCUUAGUGAUCCGGUGGUUCUGUAUGGAAGGGCCAUCGCUCAACGGAUAAAGGGUACUCCGGGGAUAACAGGCUGAUACCGCCCAAGAGUUCAUAUCGACGGCGGUGUUUGGCACCUCGAUGUCGGCUCACCACAUCCUGGGGCUGAAGCCGGUCCCAAGGGUAUGGCUGUUCGCCAUUUAAAGUGGUACGCGAGCUGGGUUUAGAACGUCGUGAGACAGUUCGGUCCCUAUCUGCCGUGGACGUUUGAGAUUUGAGAGGGGCUGCUCCUAGUACGAGAGGACCGGAGUGGACGAACCUCUGGUGUUCCGGUUGUCACGCCAGUGGCAUUGCCGGGUAGCUAUGUUCGGAAAAGAUAACCGCUGAAAGCUUCUAAGCGGGAAACUUGCCUCAAGAUGAGAUCUCACUGGGAACUUGAUUCCCCUGAAGGGCCGUCGAAGACUACGACGUUGAUAGGCUGGGUGUGUAAGCGUUGUGAGGCGUUGAGCUAACCAGUACGAAUUGCCCGUGAGGCUUGACC